rnacentral:rRNA from 1 species
CGUAGGGUGCAAGCGUUAAUCGGAAUUACUGGGCGUAAAGCGUGCGCAGGCGGUUUUGUAAGUCUGAUGUGAAAUCCCCGGGUUCAACCUGGGAAUUGCAUUGGAGACUGCAAGGCUAGAAUCUGGCAGAGGGGGGUAGAAUUCCACGUGUAGCAGUGAAAUGCGUAGAUAUGUGGAGGAACACCGAUGGCGAAGGCAGCCCCCUGGGUCAAGAUUGACGCUCAUGCACGAAAGCGUGGGGAGCAAACAGGAUUAGAUACCCUGGUAGUCCACGCCCUAAACGAUGUCUACUAGUUGUCGGGUCUUAAUUGACUUGGUAACGCAGCUAACGCGUGAAGUAGACCGCCUGGGGAGUACGGUCGCAAGAUUA